rnacentral:rRNA from 1 species
UACGUAGGGGGCAAGCGUUGUCCGGAUUUAUUGGGCGUAAAGAGCGUGUAGGCGGUUUGGUAGGUCCGUUGUGAAAACUCGAGGCUCAACCUCGAGACGCCGGCGGAAACCAUCAAGACUAGAGUCCGGAAGAGGAGAGUGGAAUUCCUGGUGUAGCGGUGAAAUGACGCAGAUAUCAGGAAGAACACCCGUGGCUAAGGCGGCUCUCUAGUACGGUACUGACGCUGAGACGCGAAAGCGUGGGGAGCGAACAGG